rnacentral:rRNA from 1 species
GCAGCCGCGGUAAUACGUAGGUGGCAAGCGUUGUCCGGAUUUACUGGGUGUAAAGGGCGCGUAGGCGGGAUAGCAAGUCAGUCGUGAAAUACCGAGGCUCAACUUCGGGGCUGCGAUUGAAACUGUUAUUCUUGAGUAUCGGAGAGGAAAGCGGAAUUCCUAGUGUAGCGGUGAAAUGCGUAGAUAUUAGGAGGAACACCAGUGGCGAAGGCGGCUUUCUGGACGACAACUGACGCUGAGGCGCGAAAGUGUGGGGAGCAAACAGGAUUAGAUACCCC